UGCUAACCUUCCUCUAGGUAUUUCUAAGGACUGGAGAAGUUGUAAGUAUUAAUAUAAAUUUUGCCUUGGCUAUUCAGUCCUGUAUCAGGCGUAUAUAUGAAGUCAAUGCUCUAGAACAGUGUGCCUUGCAUAUUGCGAUAUGUGCAAACCUAGAUGCAUUUAUUACCCCUUGUCCUUUCCCGUCUUAGUACAUAUCUGCCUCAAU